AUCCAGCUGACGAGUCCCAAAUAGGACGAAAUGCGCGUCCUGGGC
rnacentral:hammerhead_ribozyme from 1 species